rnacentral:lncRNA from 10 species
CUCAUUCUGUUGCCCUGGCUGGACUGCAGUAGCACGAUCACAGCUCACUGCAGCCUUGAACUCCUGGACUCAAGCCAUCCUCUCACCUCAGCCUCCUCAGUAGCUGGGACUAGAGGCUCGCACCGCUGCACCUGACUUAGUCCUAUUUUUAUAGAUGAGAAAAGUGGAGUGAAGCCGGAAGAGAUUUGCCUCAAACCAGGAAGUGCCUCAGGAGGGAUCUGAACCGCCAGACCAGGACUUCUAACCUCCACUGCUUCCUGGACAGGCUUUCAUUUUAAUUAUUUUUCUAAAUUGGGAGGGAGUCUUACUGUGUCACCCAGGCUGGAGUGCAGUGGUGUGAUCUCGGCUCACUGCAACCUCUGCCUCCCGGGUUCAAGUAAUCCUCCUGCCUCAGCCUCCCGAGUAGCUGGGACUACAGGUGCCCACCACGAAAUCCGGCUGAUUUUUGUAUUUUCGGUAGAGAUGGGGUUUCACUAUGUUGGCCAGGCUCGUCUCGAACUCCUGACCUCAAAUGAUCCACCCGUCUUGGCCUCCCUAAAUCCUGGGAUUACAGGCGUGAGCCACCCUGCCUGGCAUCAUUUUAAAUUCUGAUCUAAACAAAAAGUGCUCCAAACUUCCCUCCUUUUCAAAGUGGUGUCACCGUGUCAGCAACCUGAAGAAAUCAUUCUUAUGGGAAAGAAAGUUCUGGUUUAGGAUUGCUGACGGAAAACAAAACAGGAAGUCAAGCAUUCCCAGCUGACAUAGACCAUCUGGGAAUGUACUAGAAUCAGUCCUGCUGUGGGCCAGGCUGUGUGGUGUGUGCUUUACCCUGGCUUCAGAGGAGAGAGGAGAGGGAUUCAAGACUGCAGACAGCCCUGAGCCAGAUCUGUCCUCCCAGGGGAGUGGAGGAUGGGCCACGGCCACAUCUGGGCUGAACCAGGAGGCAUGGACAGGAAGCUAGAACGGCAGAGACCAGAGGGGCCACCAUGCUAAUGGGGAAGUGGUGUGGCUGGGGGAUGGGGGCCGCAGACCUCAGGGUUGGGGAAUGAGUCAACUGCGAGGGCGUUUGCACCAAAGGAAGGAUGGAAAGCCUGCCUGGCCCUGGCUGGUUAGACACUAGGAAUGCCCUGUGGUUUCCUAAACUCUACUCCAGCCUCUGGUACAAACAAAUCCCUGGCAAUCCUCGCUCUGUGUGAGUGACAAUCCCUGUACUCUACUGUAAACUUCCAGUGAGCCAGGCACUGUGAGAGGAGCCCUAUAAAAAAAGGAGACUGGCUGGGGGUGGUGGCUCACGCCUGUAAUCCCAGCACUUU